UAUAAUUUUAUUCAAUUUAGGAAGUCCAGUUGGUUUUUGAUUCCUAAUUAGUAUUUUAUUAUUUGAAAUUCAAAUCUAAUUCUAAUCGGAUUAAUAAUUCUAUUAUAAAUACUUAAUACUCAGAAUGAGAAUUUAUAUCUAUUGAUUUGUUUCUCUUUGCCUUUGUGUUGUAUUGGUUUUAUGAUUUACAUCGCCUUGCAUGUUUCAUUUAGUAAUCCUUCUUUGCAAAGUCCUUUUUGAUGUUAAAGUGAUUGAUGUUUAUGCAUAAAAGACUUUGCAUAGAAGGAUUAUCAUAUGAAGCAUUCAAUUGUUCAAGGGUUUCUCAAGCACCGAUUAUCAGCAACACAACUUAUUGGUGAGAUAGUUGAGAAUGGAACUCAACAGAUGGUUUCAUACCAAUUCAACAGAUGCAGAUAAGAUGUUUGUUAUGUUGUGAAUUAUUGCUUUCUGCAUGUUUGGUGUGGAAAUCUUUGAAUAAGCUUGAAACUAUUAGAAAAUAUUCAAUAUCCACCUACCUUUACAUAAUUACAUGAAUGUGCGCCUAGUAUUACUAAAAGUUGCUGCACCUCUCUCAAUCUGUACUCCCAAUUGCCUGAUCUAACUAAAAUGUGAAAAAAGUUCUAUUGAAUGCAGUUAGUGUGUCAUGGGGUUGGAGUUCUAUGUGUUGACAUUGUUUUCGUAGGUUGGAAAUGUUGAAGCUUUUAAUUAAUGGUUAUUAUGCACAUGGAGAACAAAACUGAAAAUUUCAGAGAUGCAGCGAUUGGAUGCUGGACCCAUAAGUAUACCUAUAUUCACAGGGGACUCUUACUCAUUUUUCCAUACCUUUCAAGUUUCUUGAUGUGCUAUGGACAUUUUAGAGAAUUUCUUUUUCAUUUGAUGAAAUUCUAUGGGAAUUAUAUAAUGUAAGUGUUAAACUGAAAAAAUAAAGGGAAAAGAAAAGGUUCUGAACUUAUCCAUCCAGUUACACUAAAUUAAAGAACAAGAUAAAUGGAUGAUAAUGUAAACGUGUUUUAUUUGCUCACAUUUUUACUCAGUCUUGCCAGGGUAUACGAGCAUGCUGUAUAAGAGAGUUCUUGUUCAGCAUAGAGAAAUUAGUUGGGUAAGUUUCCGGAACCAAAAAAUGAAGAUGCAAGAACUUAUGCUGACUUUUGACCUUUGCAUUUAUCCUCUUAUCAAUCAAGAUAAUAAAAUAUGGAACUUGACAUGUAGAUUAUACUUCAAAACAAAUUAUUUCUUUUUGCUCUCUGAAAUCUUGAAGACUUCCUACCUGGAAAUUUUAGAAUACAACCGUUGUUUGGUUGUACUGAAUAAAUUCUUCCCAUACCCCUCCCCACAAAUUUUCAAGAUUCUUAUCUACUGCCUCCUUUGGAUGAACAUCCCCAUACACUAACAUUGUUCACUUCUCUGACUUGCCUGUAUAUGAUAUUGUUCACUUUAUAUCAAAGAGUUUUGUGGUAUUUCAUUGUUUUCACCAAGACCUAAUGCUUUAUGGAUCGAGUAACAUAUUAAUGUCCACGGUAACAUCUUUUUCAAUAGGGAAUGUCCACUUCUUGAGUCUCUAAGAAACAUACAUGAGAGAAAUUUGUUUGCAUGUAACAUGCGCUACUUCUCAAAAUCAAGAUGCUGUCAUUAAAAUUAGUGAAUAUUCAUUCACAUAACUCUUAUCAGAAUUCCUCUAGUCCAAGUUCUACAGAAGUUAGUUUAGAGAGUCAUUAAGGACAAUGAAUUUGACAUUACAACAGAGUUUAGCAGGUCUAGAAAGGACAAGGUUAGUUGAUUUUUGAGGGGCUAGAGAAGUCGAGUCUGAAGACUGAAUGGUGACAACAUGGAAGAUGUUGGUCCAUUCUGCGGUAAAGGAGCCACAAAUGAUCUAGAACUUUUGGCCUAUGAAAGGCUUAUCCCAAGAAGGAUCACUUUGUCAAAAAAGGUAAAAGUGUCUGGAUAUGAGAAUGCACAAAUCAUCGGGUACUUUGAUGCAUGUGAUGAAGUUUUCUUGACCUGGUAUUGAAUAUGGUAUAUGUUGAGUGAGUAGAUACACUCAUAGUCCAAGUCAUGAUCAUUAGAAUGCAUUGAUGAAAGUACUUAAAUACUUGAAUGGUGCCAUGAAUUAUGGUAUAUUAUACACUGGAUUUCCAUUUUCCUUGAAGGAUACAAUGAUACAAACUGGAUGUGACAUUCAUAUGAGACGAAAUCCAUACUUCUGUUUUCACCCUUAGUAGUAAGGGUAUAGUGGCUAAAUCUGCAAAAUAAACCAUAUUUUCCUAGUUAAAUAUGGAGUUAGAGUUUAUAUCUCGAGAGAUGGUAGGCAGUGAAGCAUUAUGGCUAAGAAAUUACCCAAAUUAAAGGGUACAUUUUCUCUGCAAUUUAUUAGCAUAAAGGUUUAGUUGCUUGCUUUGUCAGGCUAAACAACAUUUCAGAUGGAAGUUGUUUGGCAGGUGUCUUCUGUUUGCCUCUGGAUUUGACAUUUUUGAAGUGUUUCUACAAGCUCAAACAUGUUGGCUGAAGUCUUCAUAAGUGUUCUUCAUAUUAGAAAAUCAUGCAAAUUUUCAGUUCUCAGAGCCACCUCUAAUGCUACCCAGUAAACAUUCCAUAUAUAAUUUUGACAAAGGUUUUCUUCAUUGUUCAAGUCUACUAGACUAUUGUGUUGCUUGCUGACACAGAGUUCUUAAACAGGUGGAUCUUGUUUCUUUUUAGAAAAAUAGUCCUUCGAAUCUUUGUGAAGAUGGUCAUAGUUGGGGUAAGAAAAAGGAAGUACUACCGGGAAAGCAUACAACUUAAGGUUUGUUGUUGUGUCUAUGCAUAUGCCUUCCUGUAUUGAGAACCCUGCCCCUAUUCCAUUAUAUACUACUUCUCUUAUUUCUGCAUUUUGUAACUUGUUUCAAUGUUGACAAAUCAUUUCUCAAUGCACCAUGAUGACCUUACAUUUCUAAUUUUGGUUAUAUUCCAAAAAGUAAAAUAUUGGCAACUUGUUGGAUAUGCACUUUCAUAUGUAGGAAGUAUAAUGGUAUUUGGAAUCCUCUUGCAAGUUGUGCUGUGCUUAAUUCUCUGUGCACUUAUAGAUUUCUUACCCUUCUUAGAUGAAGGAGAUCAGUGCAUGCGGUGGGUUGUUAUCUUGCAAGCAUCAUAUGAUUCCAUUAUCACAAUUUGUGAUUUCCCUAUUCCAUAAUCUCCAACUUUCUACAUUAUUUUUGUUGGGAGUUAGAAUGGUUUCUGUUGCUUUCUAAUUCUCGGGCAUUGAAGCUUUAAUUCAGCCAUUCUCACUAGUCUCUCUACCCUAUCAUGUAUAUAAAGCUAGAAAAUGGAGUUUGUGAGGGUUAUUUUGUUAAGGCCAAUUAAGCAUAUAUCCACGUCUACCUGCUCUAUUAUUGUUAGAAAUGUUAACAAAUUCUUAAUUUUGCUUCUUCAUGAUUGGAGGUGGCUUGUCUGUCUCCCAACACAAAUAUUUGGCCCGCUUAACUCAAAGGUGAUGCUUUUUAGUAUCUAUGUUAUUUUGUUACAUUUCUGUUUUAUCUAAUGGAAUGAUGCGGUACCUAACAAGUUGCAAUUCUUGAUUCUGGAGAGCCCCACUGGUACCCAGUGGAGAGGCUCUUUUCCACACUGGUACCCCAUGUAACAAUCAGAAUUCCAGUUUUCAUCGGUCUGCAAUCCACGCUAGGGGGCAGUAAAGAGCUUCAUUCUGCACUGAAGGAGGCUUUGGAAUUUCUCAACAGGGAAAUUUCUGAAGACAUACACUGGACAUACUAAUUCGAAAUUCUGCAUUUCAUCUGCCUUUUCUAUAACAAAUGGGAAGUAUAUUGUCAGUGGUACUGAGGAUAAUUGUGUAUAUUUGUGGGAACUUCAGACCAGGAAGGUGGUUCAGAAAUUGGAAGGUCAUACUGACACUGUUAUAUCAGUAGCAUGUCAUCCCACCCAGAACAUGAUUGCGUCUGGUGCUCUUGGCAAUGACGAGCUUGGGGAUCUGGACUCUGGGAAGAGAAUGAUUAAUUUUCUGGUUGUAGAUCCACAACAUGAUUUAAUCUGUGCGUAAGUGAAGAUUUUGACCCUCAAGGAUGAAAAGCUUCUGCAUUUUUUUGCCAGACUCGUGCCUUUUCUACAUGAGAUCACUUUAUGGUCCUUGUUCUAAUGCCUUGUAGCAGCUUUAAUUUGUCCAACUGCCUGGUUACAGACGAACUCUAGAACUUGUGAUUUGUAUGAGCUAAUGUUAAAAGUAGCAUUUCUAUCAUGUUUUGAGACUAGAGGGCUAGAGUCACUCUCUGUGUCUCCCUCUGUCCUGUGCUUAGCUGCUAUUUGUUGCAUUUUUGGAUAGCUUUGUUCUGUUUGAACUGCAAAGUGAAGCUAAGCAAAUCAGCAUGGAAUGUCUGGUUGGUAGUGCUUAA